CCUACGGGAGGCAGCAGUGGGGAAUUUUGCGCAAUGGGCGAAAGCCUGACGCAGCGACGCCGCGUGGGGGAAGAAGGCCUUCGGGUUGUAAACUCCUUUAGUACGGGAAGAAGCCUUCGGGUGACGGUACCGUAAGAAUAAGCCACGGCUAACUCUGUGCCAGCAGCCGCGGUAAGACAGAGGUGGCAAGCGUUGUUCGGAUUUACUGGGCUUAAAGGGCGUGUAGGCGUCCUGAUAAGUCAGAUGUGGAAGCCUUGGGCUUAACCCAAGAAGUGCAUUUGAAACUGUCAGGAUUGAGUCGUGUUAAGGAGGACGGAAUUCCUGGUGUAGCGGUGAAAUGCGUAGAUAUCAGGAGGAAGGCCGGUGGUGAAGACGGUCCUCUAGGCAAUGACUGACGCUGAGGCGCGAAAGCGUGGGUAGCAAACAGGAUUAGAUACCCUGGUAGUCCACGCCCUAAACGGUGCGUACUAGGUGUGGGUGGCGAUAGUCAUCCGUGCCGAAGGGAAACCAUUAAGUACGCCGCCUGGGGAGUACGG
rnacentral:rRNA from 1 species